ensembl:lncRNA FENDRR FOXF1 adjacent non-coding developmental regulatory RNA
AUUUGGCCCCGCGGCCCCGUUUUCAAAGCGCAGGUUCCGAUUUCCCGAGAGAUGGCAAAGGCCCUGGCAGGAAGUUUACAGGGUUUAACGUAAACAAGUUCUGGGGGAUUCUUUAAUAAUAAUAAUAGAGAAUUCCGCGUGCGCAGGGCGGGAGGGGGGAGUUGGCCUAAUGCCCCUGUGGGCUCGGCCUGCCGCCGCCGCGGGGCCUCUGACACUGCGCGCCAGGCCAGGUUCCUGAGAGCAGACAGCGCGGGCUGGGAGCGCCGGCAAGGGCGGCCCUCGCGCACCUGGCUGCCAGCCCGCAGGGGGCUCGCACGCAGACCUGCCCUUGCCACCUCAGCGCUCGGGUGCGGGCUGGGGGCGGUGGAGCCACGAAAGGUGGUGCCGAGAGCGGAGCGCAGGACAGCGCAGGAGCCCCGGCGCAUCGCGGCGCGCACAGACCCAGGAUUUGUGAAGAGGUGACCCAAAUUUCAAGACAAUGUUGGAUGCAAACGGAUUUGCCAGCAACUGCAUCACUGUCAAAACCAGCUCUGCCCGUGUCUUCCGAAGAUACCAAGUGAAAUACAUGUAGAUGGGAUUUACAUCUGAAAAACCAAGUGAGAAACUGAAGACCAGAGAGGGUGAGUGGUUUACUCAGUUUGGCACAACUGACCCCAACCUAGCCCUCCAUGAGGACUGAGCGCAUGAGAGAUCCUGAGCCACAGCCGCCCAGCCCUGCUCCUCUCGAAUUUCUGACCUACAGGAACUGCAAGAAGUAAUGAAAGACUGCUGUUUAAAGCCACUGCAUUUUGGCAUGAUUUGUUAUGCAGUCGUAGAUAACCAGAAAACAUCGGAUUUACAUUUUAAGGAUUUGGUGCAUGGGAUGGGCUCAGUUGGGCAGUUCUUCUGUUCCAUGUGAUGGUACUGGGGCUGCAGUCAUUCAGAGGCUCAACUGGGCUGAACGUGCAAGGUUUCUUGCUCACGUGGCCAUCAGUGGUGCUGGCUGCUGUUGGGAGCUCCACUGGACUUCUGUCCAGAGCUCCUCAGCUCACCUCUCUGUAUCCUUGCCCUGUGGCUCAGGCUUCUAACAAUACAGAGGCUGGAUUCCAAGAGGAGGGAAUUAGAAGCGUUCAGCCUUCUUAAGACCAGGAUUCAGAUGUCCCAGACUGUCACUGUAUUGACCGGAGCAUUUACAGGCCAGCCUAGUAAUUUUUCCAUCUUGGGCAGGAAUGGGUGGCAUAUGCUGGGGGUAGGGGUAGCAUUGUUGGGGAUCAUCUUUGGAGCUGUGUGCCAAGGAGUAAAUUGCUGGGCUGCUUUCUACCUGAGGAAGUCCACUAUGCUUGCUUGUGGAGAGUGGAUUGUGUGCUCAGAGUCCACAAGGAUUUAAGAAUCCGAGCCCUGCUGCCCUUGCCUCAGCCUGUGCAUUAGGGCCCGGUGGUGAGAGCACUGAGCCAUUGUGAAUCAAGGCCCCUCCCUCGACCUGCAUACUAACAGGCCAGAAGAGCUUGCUUGAUUUUGGUCCUAGGCUCCUGCCUGUGGGUUGGAUUCCAGGGGCACUCUCUCCUCCACAAACCAGACGGUGGCAGGUACAUCCCCUCAAUGGAAAUUGCCCACACUUCACCCUAAAGACAGAUCCUGCUGUUCAGCAACAAUGUGAGUGGCCCACACAUUUGUCCAGCAUGAAACCGUUUGCAGAUUCCUUUCCAGUACACAGUCCCGUCAGCCGGUCACUUCACGAUGACAGCUCCUCGAAGCACCUUUUGGUUUGCAGUUGUGUAGCUUAGAAGUAGGAGCCUGCACGGCUUCAGGAAUUCACAGAAGGAGCACACUUUGUGCUUGGAGAAGUUAAUUAUAGGAAUAUCCUGCAACCUGCUGCUCUGAGCCUGUGCACCUGGGGUGUUUCCCUGGAGGUCCUGUGUAUGAGGAUACUCAUCAGCAUGGGGUUUGGGAAGCCUAGCAGUGGAGACAACCUAGGUGGUCCUCUCCAGGGGAGUAGGUAAGAGCCCUACAGCAGUGAAAAGCAUUGAAGGAAAAGUGUGUUCAGCAGUGCUCUUAAUCUGAUCAGAGCAGCCUGAACACAUUCUAAACACAGGGCAUUUAGAACUAGGGUAGAGGCACUAGAGCACCAUAGAUACAAACUCAGAUUCUGAAGGUAAAUGCCCAGGUUCAAAUCCAAGCCCCCUCGCCAAGUGACCAUGACUCCCCCGAGUCACCUGACCUCUGUGUUUACAUCCUCAAAGUUAAGUAGUCAGGAAAGGGGGCUUGGGGCUUGCCACAUGGAUGGUUGCCACUCUCCUUUGCAAAGUGUAGUCCCCAAAAACAGGUGGAAGAGGGAAGGGUCCAAUUAGAAGGCCGAGUACCAGCUGCCAUGAAUAUGCCAGAGCUGCUGGCUAGUGAUAAAUAACUGAAACCCAGGGGGACAGCAGAGCUUGGGUGACCAUACAUUCUAGGAAAGAAAACAUGCCUGUUGUCCUGGCUUUUUAUCCAGCUUAGACAAAGAUGGGCAAAGAAAAUAAUUUAGAAAAUGGUAGAGAUGGGCACAGAGAAAGGGCACGGAGGGAGGCACAAACAGAAGGCCAAGUGAUGGUGGAGGCAGACAUUGGAGAAAUGCCUUUACAAGCCGGGGAAUGCCAAGGAUGCUGGCAACCCUGGGAGUGGGAAGAACCUGGAACACACCCUCCGUCAGAGUCUCCAGAAGGAACUGGCCCUUCAUCACCUUUCGGACUUCUGGCCUCCAGAACUGGGCAAGAAAAUGUUUCUGCUGUUGGAGGCCAUCCAGCUGGUGGUCAUUUGUUAUGGUUGCCACAGAAAACGAAUAUAGAUUUAGACAUCUAAUUUGCAUAUAUAGAUAUGCAUGUGUAUUU